UACAGAGGGGGCAAGCGUUGUUCGGAAUUACUGGGCGUAAAGGGCGCGUAGGCGGCCUUCUAAGUCGAACGUGAAAUCCCCGGGCUCAACCCGGGAACUGCGUCCGAUACUGGAAGGCUUGAAUUCGGGAGAGGGAUGCGGAAUUCCAGGUGUAGCGGUGAAAUGCGUAGAUAUCUGGAGGAACACCGGUGGCGAAGGCGGCAUCCUGGACCGGCAUUGACGCUGGGGCGCGAAAGCCAGGGGAGCAAACAGG
rnacentral:rRNA from 1 species